UACGAAGGGUGCAACCGUUGCUCGGAAUUACUGGGCGUAAAGCGCGCGUAGGCGGCUUGACAAGUGGCGGGGGAAAUCCCUCGGCUUAACCGAGGAACUGCCUGCCAGACUGUCUUGCUUGAGACCGGGAGAGGUGAGUGGAAUUCCCAGUGUAGCGGUGAAAUGCGUAGAUAUCUGGAGGAAUACCGGUGGCGAAGGCGGCAUCCUGGACCGACAUUGACGCUGAGGAGCGAAAGCCAGGGGAGCAAACGGG
rnacentral:rRNA from 1 species